UACGUAGGGGGCAAGCGUUGUUCGGAUUUACUGGGCGUAAAAGGCGCGUCGGCGGCGCGUAAAGUCGGACAUGAAAUCAUUAGGCUCAACCUAAUGGCUGUGUCCGAUACUUACGUGCUUGGAGUGCGGGAGAGGCAGCCGGAAUUCUCGGCGUAGCGGUGAAAUGCGUAGAUAUCGAGAGGAACACCGGUGACGAAGGUGGGUUGCUGGACCGACACUGACGCUGAGGCGCGAAAGCUAGGGGAGCAAACGGG
rnacentral:rRNA from 1 species